rnacentral:lncRNA from 1 species
GGGGGCCCCAGCCGCACACCCCUCCAGGACGGGAACAUUCAGUUGACCACGAUCCUCAGCCCCCUCCAGGUCCCGGUGAGAGGCUGAGACCAGACAGCGAAGAGCGAGCGUGGCACAAGCCCUGAAGACAGCACCCGAGAGAAGCAAGCCCCCGCCCCCGGAAGUGACAGAGUGCUCUGCUGGCAGCCCCACCUCCCAAGUCACUCGGGGAACAAUCGCCUAACUUCCCCACCACGAAGCUCCGCUUACAGUGCCCACCGAGAAGUUCAAACGUGCAGUGGAUUUAAACCUCACCUCUGGCUGCAGCCAAACACCUGCCUCCACUCUGUCCCCCCAGGCCCCUUGCCCCUAUAGGAGUCACCUAGCCAGCCCCUGGCCGCUGCUCUGCCAUUGUUCGAGACAGCCCGGCACCUGUCCC